GUGAAAUUAUAGGUGACUAUGAAUUUUUUAUCUUUUACUAUAUCUAAAAGUUUUCAACAGGGAUCACGGACUGUUAAUGUUAAGGAAAGCAGAAAGGAGUACGUCUUCCUCGUGUGGAGAGGGCGCUCUAUCCUUUAGCUCCCUACCCAUGUGUGAGAGGAGCUCACUCUCUUGGUGGCCAUCUUUAAAGAUCAUAGGUGAGAUGAGAACCCGAGAGGAGGAAGAGGAGAGGCUGCAUGGAGUGCUCAGUCCCUGACACCUACAAGCGGAGCUCUGGAACUCAUUUCACCCCAUUGGCCCAGUGCAAAGGCAGACAAGGAGCAGAGUGUUGGAGUGAGAAGAAUGAUGACAGAAGCAGCAAGUGGAUCUCCCCUCAGCCUGGUCUCCACAUGAGGAGGCAGGACACCCUCCAUGGAAACCAUCAAUAAUGGGGAACAUUUUCCAGAGAAGAAUACAUCCAAACCAAACCCAGUAAAUGUUCAGUAACCUUCUGAAACUUCUGUCUUCUGCUGUGUAGAAAGAAGGAUAAUGGAAUUUAUAUUAGAAGGAGUCAGAGGGGAUUAAAAUGGCAAAUGUACAUUUACUGCUGAGCCUGGCUCAUAAAUGGAAGAUUUGAGAAUUGUUUUUCCUAUAAUUUACAAACUUUCCAAAAAAAUACUGUGAUGAAUUAAUAAAAAAUUAACAUUUGACAUUUUCUUACUUCUAAGACUCAUGUGGUGAUUGAAUUGACUGUUGAUUAAAUAAUCCCUGUGGAAAAAACCA
rnacentral:lncRNA from 1 species